rnacentral:rRNA from 1 species
CCUACGGGAGGCAGCAGUGGGGAAUAUUGCACAAUGGGGGAAACCCUGAUGCAGCGACGCCGCGUGAGUGAAGAAGUAUUUCGGUACGUAAAGCUCUAUCAGCAGGGAAGAAAAUGACGGUACCUGACUAAGAAGCCCCGGCUAACUACGUGCCAGCAGCCGCGGUAAUACGUAGGGGGCAAGCGUUAUCCGGAUUUACUGGGGGUAAAGGGAGCGUAGACGGCAGCGCAAGUCUGGAGUGAAAUCCCAUGGCUUAACCAUGGAACUGCUUUGGAAACUGGGCAGCUAGAGUGCAGGAGAGGUAAGCGGAAUUCCUAGUGUAGCGGUGAAAUGCGUAGAUAUUAGGAGGAACACCAGUGGCGAAGGCGGCUUACUGGACUGUAACUGACGUUGAGGCUCGAAAGCGUGGGGAGCAAACAGGAUUAGAUACCCGAGUAGUC